rnacentral:rRNA from 1 species
CCUACGGGAGGCAGCAGUGAGGAAUAUUGGUCAAUGGGCGGGAGCCUGAACCAGCCAAGUCGCGUGAGGGAUGACGGCCCUCUGGGUUGUAAACCUCUUUUGCAGGGGAGCAAAGUGCGGCACGUGUGCGGUUUGGAGAGUACCAGGAGACAAAGCAUCGGCUAACUCCGUGCCAGCUGCCGCGGUAAUACGGAGGCUGUGAGCGUUAGCCGGAUUUAUUGGGGUUAACGGGUGGGUAGGCGGACGCUUAAGUCUGCGGUAAAACUGCGGGGCUCAACCUUGUCGAGCCGUUGAAACUGGGUGCCUUGAGUAUGCGAGAAGUACGCGGAAUUCGUGGUGUAGCGGUGAAAUGCAUAGAGAUCACGCAGAACUCCGAUUGCGAAGGCAGCGUACCGGCGCCCAACUGACGCUGAAGCACGAAGGCGUGGGUAUCGAACAGGAUUAGAUACCCGUGUAGUC